rnacentral:rRNA from 1 species
UACGUAGGGAGCAAGCGUUAUCCGGAUUUAUUGGGUGUAAAGGGUGCGUAGACGGGAAUGCAAGUUAGUUGUGAAAUCCCCCGGCUUAACUGAGGAACUGCAACUAAAACUACAUUUCUUGAGUGCUGGAGAGGAAAGUGGAAUUCCUAGUGUAGCGGUGAAAUGCGUAGAUAUUAGGAGGAACGCCAGUGGCGAAGGCGACUUUCUGGACAGUAACUGACGUUGAGGCUCGAAAGCGUGGGGAGCAAACAGG